UCCUACCUCUCUUCCACACUGCACCAUCAUCACCAUUUCACGCCGUUAUUUCCAAAGGCCCCGCUCGUUUGUUUAAAUCUCGCGAUAUCUCAAUCCCGCCGAAAGGCUCCUCUCGCGCCCGGUCGCCUCCUCAGUAACGGCUCCCCGGCUGGCCCGGGUUCCCGUCUCCGUCCAUCGGCCUCUCCUCGGGACACCAGAGUCACUCGGAAUCGGAGGACACUUUGAACGAGUCUGGAACGAAGCUGUGCCCAUGAACUUGGUCCAAUCCUGGAGUCUGACCCUUCACUUCUCGUUCCAUGUCAGACGUAAAACAACACCCCUCUUCCUUCUGUUGAACCAAUCUCCUUUGACCUGGACCCAUGGGACCCUCUGGACAUUGUGGCCUUGGGCUGGCACUCCCUCAGCAGUUUCCUUGACGCCUCCACUCCUCUGCUAAAGAAGAAGUUGGCGCAGCACUCGAGAUCAGACCAACUGGCUGUCUGGGACUGGGGUGGAAGAAGUCUGUGCUGUCAGCUGACAUUCAGAACCUUUCAGGGGUGGUGGAGGGGAAUGGCUGAGUGGCCAACAUAUUUAAUUACAUCCCUGCUUGAGUCUUCUGCUCCAAAAGGACUGGGUUUUGCCUCCCCCCUCCCCCCGCCCCAUCAUUUCUGGCGCUCUCUUCCACUGGAGGGGAGGUGCCGAGGACGAGCAAUGUCCUGGGUCUGGAUGGGGAUUAGCAGGCAUCUGCAGCAGCAGUUUGCCAGACGACAGGAGGGUGAUGUUGGCACUGCAGACGUGAUGUUUGACUCUGAAAAUCCAGGUGAUUUAUUCCCCUGAUGCUUCACCUCUGGGCGGUGACCAAUCUGUCACAAAUGCAGCAGGACAGGGAACCUUGUGGAAAGUGAUUGCAAAGCAGACCUCUCCAAUGACCAGUUGCCAUGACCGUGCAGGGCUGGUGUAAGCCUGAUAGCUGACUGCAGAGAUUGCAAGAUGCUGAUUUGAUGUGGAAGUGAGUCCAUUGGCCAUCGUGCUGAGGGCGAGGACGAGGGUGGCAGUGUUCGGAAACUGGGACUGCAUCAGCACCAAUGUUGUCCUUACCAACUGCACCUGACUGCAUUAAGGUUCAGGGUACAUUUAUUGUCAAAGUAUGUAUGCAGUAUACAACUCAGAUUCAUCAUUAACACCACUAUUCUCCUGCAUCAGGACGUGGACGAAACAACCGGCCAACGACAGGCCAAAGGUAGUGGUGAGCACAGUCACAGAAUGAUGCCAUGCCAGGGACACUCUCACAUUCAGGCAAGGGCAGACAGAGAUUGACAGUGUUUCAUAGGUGCUUGGUGGCUCAAUGGGAGAGGGGUUAGAAAGUCCAAAGAAAAAUAAAUCUUCCAGAAUUCCCAUAUUGGCAGGAGGCUGUGGUGUAGAUCUAACCCAUGGGAUAUGGAGAUGGGAACUGUGCAUGGCACUCCCUCUGUGGGUCUGACCUUGUGAUAUGGAGACAGAAAAGUGCAUGGUGAGUUUUUCCAUUUUCGCUGAAUGCCUAUGGAGGUUCAGAGAUUUCUGCCGAGUGGUGCCCCAAAGGGAAUGGUUUGCACAAUCGGAGCAGAAUCUUGCCUUGUGGAUUCUGUUGAAGACAGGCGAGGGCUGACAGCAAUUGGCAUGGCAUCAUGAUUCACUGUUUGCUGGUAUUCUAGAGUGUGUCUUAGGUCAGAAUGUUUAGAACAAGUUAUUCAAUUUCCCACACAUGCACUGUGCUCACAGUGUUCCUGAAGUACUGACUGGGGAUUAUGGAGGUGGGAACUGUGCAGGCGGACCCAGUCGGGCUGACCCAGAGGAUAUGGAAAUUGGAAUCACAGACAGUUCUGCCGGUGUGAGUCUGAAACAGCUCUUUCCAGACUUAAGCCAUGUUUGACAGUCCCACUGCCAAACCCUCAGUACCUGUAACUGAUGUUCCAGGGGCAUCCAGCAGGGAAGAAGGGCUUGUCUUGCUUCCUGUGAUAUAUGAUUCCUUGCCCGACUGUAUGUCUUGUGCAGAUGGGCAGCCACUCUUGCAACAGGACUGAGAACCCUGUGGAAAGACAUUUCAGAGCUCCGGAAAUAUUGCACUCUGCUCCUUUCCAGAUUUAAUCCAUGUCUGGCAGUCCCACUGUUUAAGAUCCAAUCAAAGUUUUCAAUCAGGAGACAAAGGCUGUCUGGGUUCCCACUGUAUGAGAUUCCUUGUCUUGCUGCUCAUCCAUCAGAGUUGUAGAUGGACUGUCACAGCUGCAACAUGACAUGGAACGCAGUGGAAAGAGAUUGUGAAUUUCCUGAAACUCUACUUUGUGCUGGGCUGUUGUCCUGGUGUGGUGUGACCCAAGGAAAUGAGGUCCAGAACCGUGACUGAUGUGGUCAGAAACAGAGAUUUGCCAUCAGUUGGACAGCUGGCAUUGUCCCAAGUCUCACAGCAGAAGUUAAAACAAAUAAUAUACAAAGGCAGUAUCAAGAGCAAUAAAGACAGAUUGGUUUUAAGAAGUUGCUGCCCAUUGAUUGAAGGAGGCUGACCUCGAGAGUGCAUGAUGGCUUUGAUCACAUGUACCUAAUACACAAACAAAACACCACAGUCUUAUCGGAGAGGACUGCAUGUCCGAUGUCCAGUUCCAGAGGGGGAGCGGGGCAGUGUGUUCAGUGUCUGCUCCCAGAGGGGGGAGAGGAUGAUGUGGCUGACAGCCAGUGUCGGGAGAGAGAGAGGAGGAUGCACCGACAUUGCCAUCAUUUACCAUUUACUUCUGCCCCUCAGCCCCUCACUGCAGGCCUAGCUGAAGAAUUAUACUGCAACACCCAUGUGUAUUCAUCCACCUCCCAGGGGAAUUUGCUGUAAACUCGCCUCACCCUCCCAGCCCUCUGACAUUCCCCUGUAAAACCCCACCCACUCCUCUCACUGGUUCUCUCAUCUUCCCUCUAUUAUCUGGCAGGCAGUUGCCAGUGUAACAAGAGAUGUGUUUGGUUCCUGUUGGAUACAGUAAUUUCUGAAGUAGGCUGCUCUUUGGCAAUGACUUAAAGGUGCAGACAGAGAGAGGCUGUGCUAUGAUCCUGUCUCUCUGGGCUCACUCCAGAAAAGUCAGUCUUGCACUUCGCCUCAUUGCCUGAUGCCAGGGUAUGGCAGUUGUGUGACUCACAGGGGUAGAUGUCUUGGUGCGGGAGAGGAGGCUUGUUAGGGACAGGGAAGGAAGUGAAUGAGGGGACCCAACACCUCUCAACAUCCCCUCUUAAAAUAUGAGUUGGACCUUCCUUUUGCUGCCUGACAGCAGCCUGCAUUCCUCCUUAUCUUCUCCAGCCCUCCCGGUACAGGACAAGGCAUGUCAUUCUCUCUUCUCCCCACCUCUCUUCAAGUAGAAAAUAAAAAAUCCUGAUAACACACAUACUAGGCUCAAGACAGCUACUACAUUAUUAUAACACUUAUGGUAAGAUGGAGGACGUCACAAUUGUUGUGGCCCUUGCACCUUAUUGCAUGUUGAAAUAAUCAGUAUGGCUGGUAUGCAAAUCAUUGAGUUUCACUACAGUCUGUGGUUUAUGCUCUCUGGCUUGAGCUCUGCAGUCUGUGCAUUACAUGUAACAAUAGUAAACCAUUUUAUGUGGAAAUUGUGCAAGUAGAAGGCAGUUAAUAAGUUCAUCACAACAUCAUGGGCUGAGUAGCCUGUUCCUGCACUGAAGAGUGUUCUGUAAUUUGUUAUAUUUACUUGUGAAUGCUGCAUUUCUGAUGCUAUGUGCCUGUGAUGCUGAUGCAAGUAAUAAAUGGAUUCAACAA